rnacentral:rRNA from 1 species
AAUAUUGGACAAGGGGGGGAACGCUGAUCCAGCCAUGCCGCGUGUGUGAAGAAUGUCUUCGGAUUGUAAAGCACGUUCAGUUGGGAGGAAGAGUUGUAGGCUAAUACCUUGCAAUUUUGACGUUACCAACAGAAUAAGCACCGGCUAACUUCGUUCCAGAAGCCGCGGUAAUACGAAGGGUGCAAGCGUUAAUCGGAAUUACUGGUCGUAAAGCGCGCGUAGGUGGUUCGUUAAGUUGGAAGUGAAAGCCCCGGGCUUAACCUGGGAAUUGCUUUCAAAACUGACGAGCUAGAGUACGGUAGAGGGUAGUGGAAUUUCCUGUGGAGCGGUGAAAUGCGUAGAUAUAGGAAGGAACAUCAGUGGCGAAGGCGACUACCUGGACUGAUACUGACACUGAGGUGCGAAAGCGUGGGGAGCAAACAGG